GGAUACUCGAGUGGAAUAGCAUAUGAUGCGGACCUCUUUCUAAGCAAGAGUGUUGACUAGAGAACACUGGUAAAAGAUAACCAGUUCUGGUAUUUUGCUGGGACACACUCCUACUGCCAUAGUGGAAGUUAAGAUACUGAGAUCUCUGUAUGAAUUAUUUAAAGCCACUGCCCUGAGCUUCCUGAGACCUACCACAGGCAUUGAACUCUGCACCUCUCCUGGGGCCUCUCCCUCAUUCACCUUCUCCAGGAUCCAGCAACCAAAGGAGCCCUAAAGGACCGGCACCAAGCUGUGACCAGUAGCCAUUCUCUCCUGUUGCGGAGCAGCUCCAUUGCUCAAAGCCCUGGUGAUGGGCAGAAUGAUGGUUCCCCAAAGAUGUCCACGUCCAAAUCCCCAGAACCUCGGAAGAGGGAAGCAGAAGACUGAGAUUUGCCGAGAGGACCUGACCCUCCACUACUGGCUUUGAAAAUGCGGGAAGGGGCCACCAAGCCCCUAGCAAGGAACAGGGGACCUCAGUUGUGCAACUACGUGGAACUGAAUUCCGCUGGCAAAUCCAGCCGAAGAGUACGUGGCAUGUGGUAGGCCCUCAGGAGUGAAGAAGGGAAGGAGAGAGAGAGGAAGAAGUGUGGAAAGUGUCAAUGGCAAAACAGACUCUCCCACUUAGCGAUAUACCUACAUGACCUACAGAGGGAGGAGCAAGAAAUCUGGAAUCAACUGGAUGCACAUUCAGAUGUCUGCUUUGUCCAUGUACUUGCCAUAUGACCUUGGGCCAUGAUGUCACAGAGGCUCUGUGAGCUUCCUGCUUCCUUAGCUAUAAGGGGCAGAUGAUGACUACCACCUUGCCAGAGUGCUGCAGGGAUUAGCAAUGUCAGUGGGGCUGGC